rnacentral:snoRNA from 1 species
GUUGCUUCACCACUGGAAGAAUGGCCUGAUUUUCUAUUGUCUGGUCACUCUGUAGAGGGAAGCAUAGAUUGAACAAGAAGCCAGAAUUAAACAGCAUGAUGCUUCCUUCUCUGCAUCCGUGUUACCUGUCUCCUGGCACAACC